UGGGGAAUUUUGGACAAUGGGCGAAAGCCUGAUCCAGCAAUGCCGCGUGUGUGAAGAAGGCCUUCGGGUUGUAAAGCACUUUUGUCCGGAAAGAAAUCCUUGGCUCUAAUACAGUCGGGGGAUGACGGUACCGGAAGAAUAAGCACCGGCUAACUACGUGCCAGCAGCCGCGGUAAUACGUAGGGUGCAAGCGUUAAUCGGAAUUACUGGGCGUAAAGCGUGCGCAGGCGGUUUGCUAAGACCGAUGUGAAAUCCCCGGGCUCAACCUGGGAACUGCAUUGGUGACUGGCAGGCUAGAGUAUGGCAGAGGGGGGUAGAAUUCCACGUGUAGCAGUGAAAUGCGUAGAGAUGUGGAGGAAUACCGAUGGCGAAGGCAGCCCCCUGGGCCAAUACUGACGCUCAUGCACGAAAGCGUGGGGAGCAAAACAGGAUUAGAUACCCUGGUAGUCCACGCCCUAAAACGAUGUCAACUAGUUGUUGGGGAUUCAUUUCCUUAGUAACGUAGCUAACGCGUGAAGUUAACCGCCUGGGGAGUACGGUCGCAAGAUU
rnacentral:rRNA from 1 species